rnacentral:rRNA from 1 species
AUUGAACGCUGGCGGCAGGCCUAACACAUGCAAGUCGAGCGAGCGGCGGACGGGUGAGUAAUGCCUGUGAAUUGCCCAGUCGAGGGGGAUAACAGUUGGAAACGACUGCUAAUACCGCAUACGAUUGGAUUGCCCAGGUGGGAUUAGCUAGUUGGUGAGGUAAUGGCUCACCAAGGCCACGAUCCCUAGCUGGUCUGAGUGGAUGAUGAGCCACACUGGAAUGAAUACACGGUACAGACUCGUACGGGAGGCAGCAAUGGGGAAUAUGGCACAAUGGGGGAAAGCCUGAUGCAGCCAUGCCGCGGAUGUGAAGAAGGCCUUCGGGUUGUAAAGCACUUUCAGCGAGGAGGCGUUACUCGAAGAAGAAGCACCGGCUAACUCCGUGCCAGCAGCCGCGGUAAUAC